rnacentral:rRNA from 1 species
UUAAAGGUUGGAACUGGCUCAGGACGAACGCUGGCGGCGUGCCUAAUACAUGCAAGUCGAGCGGACAGAAGGGAGCUUGCUCCCGGAUGUUAGCGGCGGACGGGUGAGUAACACGUGGGUAACCUGCCUGUAAGACUGGGAUAACUCCGGGAAACCGGCUAAUACCGGAUAGUUCCUUGAACCGCAUGGUUCAAGGAUGAAAGACGGUUUCGGCUGUCACUUACAGAUGGACCCGCGGCGCAUUAGCUAGUUGGUGAGGUAACGGCUCACCAAGGCGACGAUGCGUAGCCGACCUGAGAGGUGAUCGGCCACACUGGGACUGAGACACGGCCCAGACUCCUACGGGCAGCAGUAGAAUCUUCCGCAAUGGACGAAAGUCUGACGGAGCAACGCCGCGUGAGUGAUGAAGGUUUUCGGAUCGUAAAGCUCUGUUGUUAGGGAAGAACAAGUGCAAGAGUAACUGCUUGCACCUUGACGGUACCUAACCAGAAAGCCACGGCUAACUACGUGCCAGCAGCCGCGGUAAUACGUAGGUGGCAAGCGUUGUCCGGAAUUAUUGGGCGUAAAGGGCUCGCAGGCGGUUUCUUAAGUCUGAUGUGAAAGCCCCCGGCUCAACCGGGGAGGGUCAUUGGAAACUGGGAAACUUGAGUGCAGAAGAGGAGAGUGGAAUUCCACGUGUAGCGGUGAAAUGCGUAGAGAUGUGGAGGAACACCAGUGGCGAAGGCGACUCUCUGGUCUGUAACUGACGCUGAGGAGCGAAAGCGUGGGGAGCGAACAGGAUUAGAUACCCUGGUAGUCCACGCCGUAAACGAUGAGUGCUAAGUGUUAGGGGGUUUCCGCCCCUUAGUGCUGCAGCUAACGCAUUAAGCACUCCGCCUGGGGAGUACGGUCGCAAGACUGAAACUCAAAGGAAUUGACGGGGGCCCGCACAAGCGGUGGAGCAUGUGGUUUAAUUCGAAGCAACGCGAAGAACCUUACCAGGUCUUGACAUCCUCUGACAACCCUAGAGAUAGGGCUUUCCCUUCGGGGACAGAGUGACAGGUGGUGCAUGGUUGUCGUCAGCUCGUGUCGUGAGAUGUUGGGUUAAGUCCCGCAACGAGCGCAACCCUUGAUCUUAGUUGCCAGCAUUCAGUUGGGCACUCUAAGGUGACUGCCGGUGACAAACCGGAGGAAGGUGGGGAUGACGUCAAAUCAUCAUGCCCCUUAUGACCUGGGCUACACACGUGCUACAAUGGACAGAACAAAGGGCUGCGAGACCGCAAGGUUUAGCCAAUCCCACAAAUCUGUUCUCAGUUCGGAUCGCAGUCUGCAACUCGACUGCGUGAAGCUGGAAUCGCUAGUAAUCGCGGAUCAGCAUGCCGCGGUGAAUACGUCCCGGGCCUUGUACACACCGCCCGUCACACCACGAGA